CCUACGGGAGGCAGCAGUGAGGAAUAUUGGUCAAUGGGCGCGAGCCUGAACCAGCCAAGUAGCGUGAAGGAUGACGGCCCUACGGGUUGUAAACUUCUUUUAUCAGGGAAUAAAGUGCGCCACGUGUGGCGUUUUGCAUGUACCUUAUGAAUAAGGAUCGGCUAACUCCGUGCCAGCAGCCGCGGUAAUACGGAGGAUCCGAGCGUUAUCCGGAUUUAUUGGGUUUAAAGGGAGCGUAGGCGGGAUGUCAAGCCAGGUGUGAAAUGUGGGGGCUCAACCGUUAACUUGCAGUUGAAACUGGCUUGCUUGAGUACGGGAGAAGUAGGCGGAAUGCGUGGUGUAGCGGUGAAAUGCUUAGAUAUCACGAAGAACUCCGAUUGCGAAGGCAGCUUACUGGAGCGCAACUGACGCUGAUGCUCGAAAGUGUGGGUAUCGAACAGGAUUAGAUACCCGAGUAGUC
rnacentral:rRNA from 1 species